UUCAGGUGGCCACGGUGGAUCAGGAGGAAUUCGCCAUUUGAGUGGCCCGAACGGAACCUGCCAUUCGGGGAGCCAGUGAGGAACAGACUGUGGCGAUGGCCAGGUCACGGCAUUGGACACCGCCUCGGGAACGGCCUUGGAUAAGGGCACUGCCUCGGGAACGGCCUUGGACACGGGUAUCGCCUCGGGAACGACCUCGGGAACGGCAUGGGACAAGGACACCGCCUCGGGAACGGCCCUGGACACGGGCAUCGCCUCGGCCUGCGCAUCGGGCACCGCCUCGACCUCCGGAACAGCAUUGGGCACCGCCUCGGCCUCCGGAACCAUCUCGGGCACCGCCUCGGCCUCCGGAACCAUCUCGGGCACCGCC
ensembl:lncRNA